rnacentral:snoRNA from 1 species
CUGCACAGCAGUUAUCCCUUUCUAGCCUGGCUCCUGGGACUCUAGAGGGAGUCAGUCUGCAACAGUAAGUGGUGAGUUCUGUCCAGCAUCAA